rnacentral:rRNA from 1 species
AGCGGCGGACGGGUGAGUAACGCGUGGGUAACCUGCCCUGUACACACGGAUAACAUACCGAAAGGUAUGCUAAUACGAGAUAAUAUGCUUUUAUCGCAUGGUAGAAGUAUCAAAGCUCCGGCGGUACAGGAUGGACCCGCGUCUGAUUAGCUAAUUGGUAAGGUAACGGUUUACCAAGGCGACGAUCAGUAGCCGACCUGAGAGGGUGAUCGGUCACAUUGGAACUGAGACACGGUCCAAACUCCUACGGGAGGCAGCAGUGGGGAAUAUUGCACAAUGGGCGAAAGCCUGAUGCAGCAACGCCGCGUGAGCGAUGAAGGCCUUCGGGUCGUAAAGCUCUGUCCUCAAGGAAGAUAAUGACGGUACUUGAGGAGGAAGCCCCGGCUAACUACGUGCCAGCAGCCGCGGUAAUACGUAGGGGGCUAGCGUUAUCCGGAAUUACUGGGCGUAAAGGGUGCGUAGGUGGUUUCUUAAGUCGGAGGUGAAAGGCUACGGCUCAACCGUAGUAAGCCUUUGAAACUGGGAAACUUGAGUGCAGGAGAGGAGAGUGGAAUUCCUAGUGUAGCGGUGAAAUGCGUAGAUAUUAGGAGGAACACCAGUUGCGAAGGCGGCUCUCUGGACUGUAACUGACACUGAGGCACGAAAGCGUGGGGAGCAAACAGGAUUAGAUACCCUGGUAGUCCACGCCGUACACGAUGAGUACUAGCUGU